rnacentral:lncRNA from 1 species
GUAACAGAGUGAGACUCUGUCUCAAAACAAAUCAAAACAAAACGAAACAAAACCAUGUUAAUACAACAUAGAAAUAAAUACACUAAUAAGAAUAUUAGUGAUUUUGUUCCAGCCAAAUGGCCAAUAACAAAAGAUGCAAAUAGCAAAAGGUGGAGGUGGGGGGCGGGUGGUCACAAAAGGUGUAGUGACUUUCAGCGUAGAUGAAAUUAUGGAAGACGCAGCUCACGAAGCAUCUUGAGAGAGAUGAGGUGCUAUCUCAUCUAGAUUCUUCUCAGCUAUCUGAGUUAACCACAUUCAAACAGCUUUCAAAGUUCCCUCAUUCUUAUAAACCUGGCUGUUUAAAACACACUUUCAAAACUUCCCGAGAAUUCCAUAAAGUAGAAUCAGAUCACUGUAUAGAUUGAUUGAUUAAUUCAACAAAGACAUAUUGUUUUAGGUGAUGGAGAUGUAGCAAUGAACAAGACAAUCACGAUUCCUCAUCUCCUAGAGCCCAUGGGUCUAGAGGGAGUGCCAAGCAGAUAACAAGCAAAGAGCAACAACAAUGCAAAAAGCAAAUAUGACAAUUUCAGAACCCGAGAGGCACUGGAAGAAACUGAGGCCAGGGAAUGGAAUUGAUGAUGGCAGGUGUGGAGAGUGGUCAGUGAGGGGCUCUCCUCUCUAAGAAGGUAACCUUUGAACUGAGACAUGAAGGAGGAAAAGGAACCAGCCACAAGAAAAUCAGGGAAAGGGUAACUCCAGACAGCAGGAAUAGCUAGGGCAAAAGCCCUGAGGCCACAUUGAGCUUCGCUGUGAUAGGAACAAGAAUGGUGGCCAGUGUGGCGUGGGCUUAGAGAGACAGCCAGAGAAGAAUGGAAGAGCCAGAUGGAGAUGCAAGCAGGGGCUGCUUCUGUGGUCUUGUGGGCUUGGUACAGAGUCCAGAUGAGGAAACUGAGGCUCAGAGAGGUUAAGUAACUUGCCCAAGGUCACACAUUUAACAGUGGCUGAGCCAGGAUUUGGACCUGGGUUCCCAACUUCAUACCCAGUCCUCUCAACCUUCACCUCUGCCCAUAUGUGGCAAAAGCAUUAAACAUGUAUUUCCAGACAGCACAGCCUGUGCUCUAUGAACACUGUUUGUGUGUGUCUAUGUAUGUGUGUGUGUGCUUGCAUGCAUCUGCGUGUGCUUUUUUGUGUGUGUUUUAAUUGCAAGGAAAAGUGCACACAUCAUACACAAAGAGCUCAGUGAAUUCUCGCCAAGUGGACACAUUUGUGGAAUGAGCACCCAGAUGUACACAGGACAUUCCAGAAGCCCCCUUGAUGACUCUCCUGGUAAAUCCUCCCCACCACCGCCCCCAAGGUUAACGGCUGUCUUGAAUUCUAACUCCAUAGAUGACUUUUGCUGGUUUUGAACUUUCUAUAAAGGGAAGCACAAAGUGUGUGCUCUUCCCAUCUGGCUUCUUUCAUUCAGCAUCCUGACUGCACAGCUUGUGGUGUUCUGUUAGACUUUGACUGCCACGCUGCGAGAGCACAGGUGGACUCCCAGAAUGCUUCCUUCCCAUGAACAAGGCCAGGAGAAAGCUGCUUGCACAAAAGCAGUUCAAAGAGACACAGAAAAGUACAAGAAGAAAACUAAAAAGGUGACCCCGAGAGAACCAUUCUAAGAUGUCCAUGGGAAUUCAGCUCAGCUCAUGUAUUUAUAUUGAGAUCCUACUGUUGUCUGCUUUUUCAUUUUUCAUGAAAAUAAAACUUGACUCAAAGUUUCAUUUAAAAAU